GAAAAAGAAAGAAAGAAAAAAAAGAAAAGCAGGGAAGAAAGAAAAAGAAAGAAAGAGAAAGAAAAGCAGUUCAGUUGAAGGCUUUACCACCACGACCGACACAUAAAGCGGAGAGCAAAGGUCUGUGAUGGCGAAGUAAGUGUUCGUCUUCAAUAACGACAGAGAGAAGAGCACUCGCCCCUAGGUCCCCAGGUCAUCAAGCCCUCAGGUCAACAAGUCCUCAGGUCAACAAGUCCUCAGGUCAUCAAGUCAUCAGGUCAUCAAGUUCCCCAGGUCAUCAACUCUCCAGGUCAUCAAGUCUUCAGGUCAUCAAGUCCCCAGGUCAACAAGCCCUCAGGUCAACAAGUCCUCAGGUCAUCAAGUUCCCAAGUCAUCAAGUUCCCAAGUCAACAAAUCCCCAGGUCAGCAAGUCCCCAGGUCAUUAAGUCUCCAGGUCAGCAAGUCCCCAGGGCAUUAAGUAUCCAGGUCAUCAACUCUCCAGGUCAUCAACUCUCCCGGUCAACAAGCCCCCAGAUCAACAGGGCCCCAGGUCAUCAAGUCUCCAGGUCAUCAAGUCCCCAGGUCCGGGAGCCAUCAGGUCCAGGAGCCAUCAGGUCCGGGAGCCAUCAGGUCCGGGAGCCAUCAGGUCCGGGAGCCAUUAGGUCCCUGUUCCCCCAGGCGGGCAAGUGACUGGCAGCAAUUAGGAAGCAGACAACGGUUCUAUUCUAAUGUGACUUUUUGACCCAGGAUAAUGAGGCCGGGGAUGAUGUGGCCAAGGUUGAUGAGGCCGGGGAUGAUGAGGCCGGGGAUGAUGUGGCCAAGGAUGAUGAGGCCAAGGAUGAUGAGACCGAGGAUGAUGAGGCCGAGGAUGAUGAGGCCGAGGAUGAUGAGGCCGGGGAUGAUGAGGCCGAGGAUGAUGAGGCCGAGGAUGAUGAGGCCGAGGAUGGUGAGACCAAGGAUGAUGUGGGCGAGAGAGUGUGAGCCACACAACCAAUAAUGACAUUUAGAUCGAGGUGUUGUAAGGUCGAAUAUGCUGAAGUAUGUGAUAUCUGGGAAAAGAUUAAGUAGAUAGAUGCUGUUAUAGGCUCUAUGUCCUUCCAUUAUAAGGUCGAUGGUCGUGUAACAUCGGAUAUCUGGGGAAAAAAAUCCGAGUAGAUGCAUUGGAUUAUAGACGUUAUUUCCUACAACUUAUGGUCGAAUAUUGUACAGAGUCUGAUACGUGUGAAAGGUAGAUAGUGUAUUCAAUUAUGAUCUUAAUGUUAUUCCUGUGUAGGAGUGAAUAUUUUCUUUAAAAUACCUGGAAUAUAAACAAGAAACAUUUUUAUAAGCCUUGUAUCCUCACCCAUUAAGGUUGAAUGUUGUAUGUUCCUGGAUGUUUGAUGAAAACUGGAAACAACCCAAUUUAACCUUAUUAACCCCGUUACUUUUACUUGAAAAUGUUAUCCCUUCUGAAACACGUGUAUUAAACAAGAAAUAAAUAACGAUCUUCCUAA